GUGCUUACUUCAUCAUCAUGUAUACUAAAAUUGGCAUGAUACAGAGAAGAUCAGCAUGGCCCCUUUGCAAAGAUGAAAUGCAAAUUAGUGAUAUAUUUAUAUAUAUAU
ensembl:snRNA U6 U6 spliceosomal RNA